rnacentral:lncRNA from 1 species
AAGAAUAGUUGAAAAAAAAUUAUUUGAACUUGGACUCAAUGGCCCAAAGGAAAAAAAAAAGUGAGAAUUGAAUCUGAUUUUUUAAUAGGCCCAAAUGGCCCAGGAGAGAUUUGAUUUGGGCUGGAUCCAAAAAUAAUGACUCAAUAUAGAUUUGUUAUUAAUAUUACUUAAUUGCCCUUAAUGAAACAUGCAAUGUUAGUGAAGGAAACAUGCCCCUAAGGUAAUUAUGACAAUAGGAUCCUGCUUUAAUAGUAUAGAUUUAUGAAUGCUUAAAUUAUAUUAAGAAAAGAAAAAAAUAAUAAUUAAGAAUAGUUGAAAAAAAAUUAUUUGAACUUGGACUCAAUGGCCCAAAGGAAAAAAAAAAGUGAGAAUUGAAUCUGAUUUUUUAAUAGGCCCAAAUGGCCCAGGAGAGAUUUGAUUUGGGCUGGAUCCAAAAAUAAUGACUCAAUAUAGAUUUGUUAUUAAUAUUACUUAAUUGCCCUUAAUGAAACAUGCAAUGUUAGUGAAGGAAACAUGCCCCUAAGGUAAUUAUGAC